AAAUACUCAUUUGAUAUUUAUGCACCAGGCCAUAAUAAUUGAGUGAAUUUCGUUAUUGCGAUAUUAUAUUUUAAUCGAGCAGGCCGAAUGGCAGUUAAGCUCUACUGCUGACAGUUAAUUAAUUUAAAUUUGUUAUAAAACGUGCGUUUUCAUGCAACUUUUUUCUUUACAUUACAAAAUGUCUGUCGUAAAAUAAUACUUUUUGCUCAAUUUGAAAUGUGGGUCAAUGUCACUCGAAAAAUUGUAUAAUGCGAGCGCAUAUUAGCAAAAAAAAAGGUGAUAACAGUAGUUGCGUAGUGCAAAGCACUGUCAUGAUUUUCAAGCGAUUAUCUGAUCUCAUAUAUUGAAAAAAUUUAUCUAAAUGGAAAGUGAAAUUUGUUGUGUUUCAAACGAAAUUUCUUGUGCCAAAACGUUGGAAAUAUUGAAAAAAACAUUUGGUGAUUCAACCAUGUCAAAACUCAAGUCUACGAUUGGUAUAAAUCGUUCAAAGAAGGGCAUUGAAAAAUCGCAACGCACACAAAAGGUUGACUUGUACGUAAUGACGCCGACACAUAGCUAUAAAAAUUGACGGAAUAGUGGCUGACCGUUGUGCCAACCUGGGGAAAAACAUUUUGAAAUAUUCGGAGGGAAAAUUUAAAAUGAGAAUUUCCGGAUACUUAGUUGACUGAAUGUAUGUUAUGAUUUUCGUUUUUCUAUUGGACUUUAUGCCGAAUAUAUGGGUCAAAUUGUAUGUAAUCUUAAUAAAAUUGCGAGAGUAUAAAUUGUUCGGUCGCACCCGAACUUAGCCUUCCCUUACUUGUUAUUAAUCCAAAUGACCUCGAAUGAAUAAGUAGGCGAUUAUAUGCUUCAACGAGCUUCAUUUUUUCUAUUUAAAAAUCUACUUUAAAUGUAUGGUUCAUUCCCCGUAUGUUAUAUAAUUUCAGUAUGCUCUAGGAUAAUAUAUAAUAUAAUGGACGACAGUCUGACAGACCGCCGCAUUAAAAGCUGUUCUAUUGACCUUAGCAAUUCUUGGAAUUUAGCUUAGAGGCACUAUGGCGUAUGAGCAACAUGAUUUGAAAUUAAUCCUAGACUACACCAAGUAAAUAUACUUGUACAUAAUAAGUAAAUUUAAUUAUAUUAUACUAUCAAACUAUAUCCGUAAAUAAGCAGACAAAAAGUUUUUACGUAAAAUCUUGUUUAAGUUUAAUAUCUAAACAGCUAUAAUUUACCAGAUCUCAUGUAAGGAUUGAAAAGAGUUAAUGGAAUCAGAGGUUCUAAAGGUCUGUGAGGCAUCCUUUUACAUUAUCUAAAUGGUGUGUGUAUAUAAUAUAAAUAUGUAUAAGAGGGCCAUUUGACUGUGCUGCCGUUGGAGGUUCAAUUAAAAAUUAAUCGCAAUUUUUGUGCUUGAGUACCACAUACUUUUGAUUUUUUUUAUUAAAAAUACAUAUGAUACUCCGGCCACAGUUAAAUUUUCAUAAUUUAUUUACCACAUUUAACACGUCUAAAUCAAUAUACCGUAUAAAACA